rnacentral:rRNA from 1 species
AGUGAACGCUGGCGGCAGGCCUAACACAUGCAAGUCGAACGGCAGCACAAGAGAGCUUGCUCUCUGGGUGGCGAGUGGCGGACGGGUGAGGAAUGCAUCGGAAUCUGCCCAUUUGUGGGGGAUAACCUCGGGAAACCGGGACUAAUACCGCAUACGACCUACGGGUGAAAGCAGGGGAUCUUCGGACCUUGCGCAGAUGGAUGAGCCGAUGCCGGAUUAGCUAGUUGGAGGGGUAAAGGCCCACCAAGGCGACGAUCCGUAGCUGGUCUGAGAGGAUGAUAGGCCAACCUGGGACUGAGCCCCGGCCCAGACUCUACGGGGAGGAAGAGGUGGGAAUUUUUGAACAAGGGGGGAAAGCUUGUGCCAGCAAUGCGGGGGGAGUGAAGAAGCCCUCCGGGUUGUAAAGCACUUUUGUUGGGAAAGAAAAGCAGCCGGUUAAUCCUCGGUUGUCAGGCCGUUACCCAAAGAAUAAGCACCGGCUAACCCCGU